GCCCCUCAGCGGCGCAGCCACCGCAGCCGCUACACAGACACAGCCUCCACCGCCACCGUAGAAGAUCCGUCGCCGUCGGAUUCUGAGCUUUUUUUCGUUCCAGAUCAACGCUUUCUUUGUCAGAUUCCCUUCGCGCAGCUAGUUGUUGAUUCUGAUGUUGUAAGAUCAACCAUCCGGUUCUCGAGGUUGUCUUCUGCACUUGUUGAAGCUGUUAGCUCUCCCUCACUUGGAAGAUUCCUCAGCUUUUUUUCAAAGCUUCACAACACUUCUUUCUUCCAACACAAUCAACUACAAAGAGCAAAUGUUGGAAGGUACUUCAAACUCUUUCAUUCAUCUCUGCUUCUUUUAACUAUUAAUUUUCUCUUUUUAUUUUUUAUUUCUAUGAAUUGUCCAGAUAAACUUUAGUUAAUGAUAUUAGUUGGAUAAAACUCUUUCUAGUGAUACUGAAUAAUUUGAAACAUACAUUGAAAAUAAAGCUUGUCAGAGUUUAUAGUUUAAGUUGGAGAAACAAGUAGUUAAAGUUGAUGAACUGGCAGUGUAAUAAUUGUGAAAUACUGAUGAAAAAUUUUUAGAAAAAAGUUGAAAAUCAAUUUUAAUUUAAUCAGAAAUCAUUCUAUUUUUUCAAAAA